rnacentral:rRNA from 1 species
UACGUAGGGGGCAAGCGUUGUCCGGAUUUAUUGGGCGUAAAGAGCGUGUAGGCGGCUUAAUAAGUCAGUGGUGAAAGCCCAUCGCUCAACGGUGGAACGGCCAUUGAUACUGUUAAACUUGAAUUAUUAGGAAGUAACUAGAAUAUGUAGUGUAGCGGUGAAAUGCUUAGAGAUUACAUGGAAUACCAAUUGCGAAGGCAGGUUACUACUAAUGGAUUGACGCUGAUGGACGAAAGCGUGGGUAGCGAACAGG